UGCGCCUGUCCCUGGUGUCCCUUUCCUCUUUUUUGGUUUCUUCACUCUGACCUCACUGACCACUGCUUUAGAUUCUCCCUUCAGUUCCCGUCAGACGCUUCCAGACUCCCAAGCUUUCCUACGAAUGAGGGAAAAUGGAGAAACAGGCACUUGUCAGGGGACCCCCCACCCUAAUAAAGAGCACUUGCUCCGCCAGAACAGCAAAAUUCAUGCCAUGUGGGCAUCCCUGGGCACUAUAGCAAGCUAGUUGCGGCCACUCCC
rnacentral:lncRNA from 1 species